ACGGCGAAAAGGCAAAGCGCUGGAAACAGCGUGGCGCAAAGCUAAAGGGGCUACGGCGAAAGACGCUAUGCCAGCCAGCUGCCGAA
rfam:Geobacillus sp. CAMR12739 Contig60, whole genome shotgun sequence.